UCCAAUCCAUGCUCGUUUAAAGCUUGACUAACAAGAAAAUUGAAUAGUCCACCAGUUAAAUGUGAAAUUUGCCAAAAGUUUACUAGCAGCAUGAGAUAAUUGGUUAAUCGUACUAAUCGCGUACCUUUCACUUGAUCCUUUGUAAAGAAACACUUAUAAGCAAUUCCUCGAAAAUUUACAGUUUCACAAUCAUUUGAUAAUUCUGAAUAACUUCCCCCGCUAAAACAUCCGUGCUCGUUCAUACAUUGUAUAAUAUCGAGGUCUUCACCUAUUCAUGAUAAAUAAGAAUUUCAAUAUGGAGCGUACCUAUGCAUAUAAUACUACAUGCUUUCGGUUCCUUCUUUUUGAGAUCGUUUAGCAACUUUUCCAAUAAUUCAUCCAUAUGCAAUUAUUUA